GCGUUAGUUCGACCAAGAAUGGUCGAGUGGAGGGGCUGGGGAGUGGCAUUGCCGUCACAGCACAUGUGGGUGAGCGGCCUAGUCGCCGGGGCAAGGAGUGCGGGAAGACGGAAACCCCAACGUUGCUGUCUGCCUGCCUACAAAGGCGUAGAAACCUAUUCGAUUCUGUUUGCCCGUGGUGCCCACGACGGAGGGGAUGUCAAGCUCCGUCUCCUUCCUGUUGUUGAAGCCAGCGGGGCUACGGAGGGGAUGGCAAGCUCCUUCUCCUUCCUGCUAUUGAAGCCGUCAGAGCUUGUGGAGGCGCUGCACAACUACGACACGACGACUAGCUCUAGCCUCCGCACCGAGGACAUCGUCAACCUGUAGCCCACCUUCGUCAUCGAGGUGCUCACCCUCGACAUUGGCGGUCAGCCUCCUCCUCAUCGCGCUUGUGGUGGUGGCGGAAGCCAACAUCGCUGCUGGCAAUGUUGCGGGCUUGGGGAAUCUCUAUAGCUCCAGGAACAACCCAACACAGCUCAUCGGGUGAUCCGCCAGCGGUGGCGACCCCUGCCCUACCAAGUGGAUAGGUGUCUCCUGCUCGGGCUCCAUCGUCACUUCAAUGUAGGCAGAUUCUCAAACGACAAGAUAUUUUGUCUGUCACAUUGAGCUAUGCUUCUAACAUUCCUACGAAAACACCAGUGUUUUCUCUUUUCUUCUCCAACUUCACUUCGGCUCCUUUAAUUUGGCACGACCACUCUAUAACUUUUUCUCAUGUUGUUUGCUUAAAAGUUUGUUAGUGUGCUUAGCAUUUACAUGUACAUCCAUCCACCAUUGUUGCCCUGCUUUUCCACCAAAAAAGGGUCAUCACUACUGUAAUGACCAAAUGAGUAUUAUAAUAGCUAUCAGCAUACUGUGCUGGGGAUAAUAUAGAUAUAACACUUUGCUUUUACAUGGUUGCUAUGAUGAGAGUUAUGGUCAUACAUUAUGUUGUUCUGCAUAGAUAGUAUUAAAUGUUGUUCAGCUUAAUUUUGUAGCCAAAUUUUUCAUAACAUACCAGUUGCCAUCAAACCUUACCUUUAUGUGAUGCCUCAUAACCUGUACAUAUUAUUCAUGCUAUUCGAUUCUUGAAAUUUGAUUCAAAGCAAAUACAUGAAUCUGGCGAAAAAUAGCUUCACUGGGUCAAUAUUCUAUAUCCAACUUGGUUUCGCUUGAGCACCAGUAAGUUUCUGUCCAAUGUAAAGAUGUAAUUCUUUCUGUGUUGAUCUUGUUAGUUAACACAAUCUAACUGCAAUGAACUGUUGGGUGCAAUGCAGCAAUCUCAGCCCCAAUUCGCUAUUUCAGCAAAUUGUUGUACUAUUUGGAAGCCUCAAUUCACUUUCAGAGUUAUGCACAUGAACACUUUUUUUAACAAAAGACAUAUGGUCCUCGUCGAUGAGGAGGUACACAACCAUCUUACUGCAUGAAGCUUCCUGCGCAUCGAGAGAUAGCCUCCACAAAUCUGAGUUUGAACACAUAACAGAUGAUAUUCUUAAGCUGGAUGGAUAUUUUGCUUAGCUUUUGUGGAUUGAAGUGGACCUGACUUGUAGUUUGCUGAAGUCUAUGUACAUAACUGUGUGGAUUGCAUCAGCCAAGCUAUGUUUACCAAUACCAUGUAUAUACAUCCCACUGUGAUGUGUCCCUACGUGCGACGCAUGACGUAGACUUAGAUCAUGUCACCUUAUUUUGGAUCAGCUUGCUACUGUGAUGGGACUGAUCGUUAUACUAUGUCGCACCUCUAUGUAUGGUAACUUGCUGAAACAGAAAACAACUGCAACUUUAAUCGCUGCUU